AUUGAACGCUGGCGGCAGGCUUAACACAUGCAAGUCGAGCGAGCGGCGGACGGGUGAGUAAUGUAUGGGAAACUGCCUGAUGGCGGGGGAUAACUACUGGAAACGGUAGCUAAUAACGCAUACCAUCAGAUGAGCCGAUAUGGGAUUAGCUAGUAGGUGGGGUAAAGGCUCACCAAGGCCACGAUCCGUAGCUGGUCUGAGAGGAUGACCAGCCACACUGGGACUGAGACACGGCCCAGACUCCUACGGGAGGCAGCAGUGGGGAAUUUUCGGCAAUGGAGGAAACUCUGACCCAGCCACCCCGCGUGUGUGAUGAAGGUUUUCGGGUCGUAAAGCACUUUUGUUAGAGAAGCGGUAUCUAACCAGUAAGCACCGGCUAACUACGUGCCAGCAGCCGCGGUAAUAC
rnacentral:rRNA from 1 species